rfam:Thermococcus celer strain Vu 13, complete genome.
GCGGGGAAGACCCGCGGGAUGUUCCGCUCGGCGGAGAACCACAAA